rnacentral:lncRNA from 1 species
CUCUGAGGGGCAUCUGUAGUGGUGUUCUUUCCCCCUGUUCCUUGGUGGAGUGCAGCCUCUGUCUAAUUCCUGUGUUUUCUUCCCCCUUCCCAUCAGUACUCUCCAGGAGAGGUGGAUACAAUCUAGGUGGUCCGGUUGAGGUGGAAUCCUGGGGGCGUUGACCAGAAGUCUCCAUUGCUGGGAUAGGAGCCUGCUGAAAUGGUGGCUCUGUGAUCUCUGGGAGAGCUGGUGGAGGAGCAGGGGCUGCUGCAGGAACUUCACCUGGCCCUGGAUCGGUCAGCAAGGCAGCCUCCAGUCCUGGUGGUGUGCUGGGCAGUGGGCAUGUCAUCGUCCAGUAUGGGGAGGCCCCCGUGGAGGAGAACAAUCCUAGCCUGCCCUCCGUGUGAAGUCUCCUCUCAACCAGAGGCCACGUUGAAGAGGACAGCACAGAUUCCACACGGAUCAGGUGCUGAUAAAAAAUAAAUAAGACAGUACAAAUAAAAUUGCAAACUCUGGAGAUGGGAAAGAAAUG